CAGCAGUCGGAGAAGAAGAGACG
rnacentral:miRNA from 2 species